CUGUUCUCCAUCCUGAAUCUCUCCCGGGGCACGCAGGGGGCCGUGGUGGCUGAUGGCUUUGUGGUCACAACAGUCUUCAUUUACUGAAAUGGCAGGUGACAGUCUUUGUUCACAGCGUCAACACGACUAAAUCAUGUCAGUUUCCUGUAGCGGUGGCACCAAUUUCCAGCCUCGUUUGCAGCGCGUGAGAGGUCCUGUGGCUCCACGUCCUCACCAACACUGACAUACUCAUCCAUUAGGCUCAUUUGUCCCAUGAGCACAAAGUGAACUGUCCCUGCGGUUUGGGUCCCAUCCUCGUGGUUACUGAUGAGGUCUGACAUCUUUCCAUGAGUUUUUGGCUGAGAACUUUUGAGAUUUAUAUAUUGUAGAUGGUCCUCUUUCUUGCUUAUGUCUCACAGAUAUCUUGUCUCGAUUUGGUCUUUCCAUUGUCUUUAUGGUGUCCUGUUUUAACUGCCAUCUCAUAUACUGUAUAUUGUUCAUUGUGUUAAUAUCUAACUCCCCCAUUAGACUGUAAUCUCAUGAGGGCAGACAUCUUUGCUUGUUUUAUUCAGCAGUGCCUAGAACAGUGUCUAGGGCACAGUGGGUAUUGGACGGACACUAGCUAAAUAAAUGAACUAGAAGGGAGGAGACCCAGGCCCAACCUGGACUCUUCAUCCACUUAUUGGCAGACUUGAGUGGUCCACUCCCCAACCCAGGCCUCAGUUUCUGCAUCAUUAAAAUGGAUCCACAUUAAUAAAAUGGGGGAGGGUGUCUGUCUUUGAGGUCAUUCCAAUUCUGACAAGAUAGUUGUCUUGAGAGAAGGGUGAACAGGCCAGUUUACCUUGGCUGAACGGGGUAUUUGCUGCCCCCUAGUGACGGGACCUACCCUUCAGCAGUACAAGUGAGUCUUGAAAGAAAGAAAGUGAAGUCGCUCAGUCCAUGGGAUUCUCCAGGGAUUCGUCCACGGGAUUCUCCAGGGACAGAGGAGCCUGGUGGACUGCCGUGUUUGGGGUCGCACAGAGUCGGGCACGACUGAAGCGACUCAGCAGCAGCAGGAGGGCGCCACUCACCCCAGAGACAUCUUUUCUGCUGUAUCGCUUCCAGUGAGCCAUCCUCACCCCAGUGCCUCAGUAUUCCAUGCCCCUUCACCCCUUGGUGCCUCUUUGAUGCCUCUCAUGCUAACUGCCCUUCAUGUCACUGAGACCAUGUGUUAUGGGUCGAAUUAUGUCCCUCAAAAUUCAUAUGCUGAAGUACUAGCCCCCAGUACCUCAGAGGCUGACUGUAUUUGGAGAUGGAAUCUUUAAAGAGAUAAUUAAAUGAAUCCGAGGUCAUGAGGGUGGACCCUAAUCCAAGGUGGCUGGGGUCCUUAUAAGAGGAGAUUACAACAGAGACAUGCACAGAAGGAAGACCACGUGAAGACACAGGCAGAAGACAUCCACCUACAAACCAAGAAGCAAGGGUUCAGGACAAACCAGCCGUGCUAACACCGUAGUCUGUUUUUCCACCUCUGAGCAGGUGGUCCCAAGAUGGUCCUCCAGAAACAGGCUUUUUAAGAUGCUGGUAAAAUUUUCUUUUUCCUUAAAAAAAAAAAAAAUUACCUGCAAGAUCUUACAUUAAAAAAAAUUCCAUUUUAACCAUUUUUAAGUGCACAGGUCAGUGGCAUUAGGUAUUAAUACAUUCACAUGGUUGUGCAGUCAUCUGUCUCCAGAAUUUUCUCAUCAUCCCACCCUGUAACUCUGUGCCCACUGAAUACUAAUUCCCCAUUCCAUCCUCCUUCCAGUCCCUGAGAAAUCACCAUUCUACUUUUUAUUCUUACAAAUUUGACUACUCUUAAGUUAACUGAUUUAGGUGGAAUCAGCUCAGAUGUUAAAGAAUCCUCCUGCAACGCAGGAGAGCCAGGUUCAAUCC
ensembl:lncRNA